UGGGGGAUAUUGCACAAUGGAGGGAACUCUGAUGCAGCGACGCCGCGUGAACGAUGAAGGCUUUCGAGUCGUAAAGUUCUUUUAUAUGGGAAGAUAAUGACGGUACCAUAAGAAAAAGCCCCGGCUAACUACGUGCCAGCAGCCGCGGUAAUACGUAGGGGGCUAGCGUUGUCCGGAAUCACUGGGCGUAAAGGGUUCGCAGGCGGAAAUGCAAGUCAGGUGUAAAAGGCAGUAGCUUAACUACUGUAAGCAUUUGAAACUGCAUAUCUUGAGAAGAGUAGAGGUAAGUGGAAUUUUUAGUGUAGCGGUGAAAUGCGUAGAUAUUAAAAAGAAUACCGGUGGCGAAGGCGACUUACUGGGCUCAUUCUGACGCUGAGGAACGAAAGCGUGGGUAGCAAACAGG
rnacentral:rRNA from 1 species